UUUAUGGAGAGUUUGAUCCUGGCUCAGGAUGAACGCUGGCGGCGUGCCUAAUACAUGCAAGUCGAGCGAACAGACGAGGAGCUUGCUCCUCUGACGUUAGCGGCGGACGGGUGAGUAACACGUGGAUAACCUACCUAUAAGACUGGGAUAACUUCGGGAAACCGGAGCUAAUACCGGAUAAUAUAUUGAACCGCAUGGUUCAAUAGUGAAAGACGGUUUUGCUGUCACUUAUAGAUGGAUCCGCGCCGCAUUAGCUAGUUGGUAAGGUAACGGCUUACCAAGGCAACGAUGCGUAGCCGACCUGAGAGGGUGAUCGGCCACACUGGAACUGAGACACGGUCCAGACUCCUACGGGAGGCAGCAGUAGGGAAUCUUCCGCAAUGGGCGAAAGCCUGACGGAGCAACGCCGCGUGAGUGAUGAAGGUCUUCGGAUCGUAAAACUCUGUUAUUAGGGAAGAACAAAUGUGUAAGUAACUAUGCACGUCUUGACGGUACCUAAUCAGAAAGCCACGGCUAACUACGUGCCAGCAGCCGCGGUAAUACGUAGGUGGCAAGCGUUAUCCGGAAUUAUUGGGCGUAAAGCGCGCGUAGGCGGUUUUUUAAGUCUGAUGUGAAAGCCCACGGCUCAACCGUGGAGGGUCAUUGGAAACUGGAAAACUUGAGUGCAGAAGAGGAAAGUGGAAUUCCAUGUGUAGCGGUGAAAUGCGCAGAGAUAUGGAGGAACACCAGUGGCGAAGGCGACUUUCUGGUCUGUAACUGACGCUGAUGUGCGAAAGCGUGGGGAUCAAACAGGAUUAGAUACCCUGGUAGUCCACGCCGUAAACGAUGAGUGCUAAGUGUUAGGGGGUUUCCGCCCCUUAGUGCUGCAGCUAACGCAUUAAGCACUCCGCCUGGGGAGUACGACCGCAAGGUUGAAACUCAAAGGAAUUGACGGGGACCCGCACAAGCGGUGGAGCAUGUGGUUUAAUUCGAAGCAACGCGAAGAACCUUACCAAAUCUUGACAUCCUCUGACCCCUCUAGAGAUAGAGUUUUCCCCUUCGGGGGACAGAGUGACAGGUGGUGCAUGGUUGUCGUCAGCUCGUGUCGUGAGAUGUUGGGUUAAGUCCCGCAACGAGCGCAACCCUUAAGCUUAGUUGCCAUCAUUAAGUUGGGCACUCUAAGUUGACUGCCGGUGACAAACCGGAGGAAGGUGGGGAUGACGUCAAAUCAUCAUGCCCCUUAUGAUUUGGGCUACACACGUGCUACAAUGGAC
rnacentral:rRNA from 1 species